UGGCCUCUGAGAAAUUUACGGAUUAAUGUUUACCAGAGUCUAGUCAAGGACAUGAGAACAGGCUUCUUUCUCUAUGUGAAAAGAUCCAAUAAUUUAUAAAAUCAGCAAUCUGAGUUCAAAAAGGACAGUUUCUUUGAUAGCGAAGACAAUGCUAUGGAGCUGCAAGUAUAUGUAGCUGAGAUAUUACUU